GAGGAAGACGAGGUGGCGCCGGAGGCCCCCUCCCGGGACGUCCCCGAGGCGGGCGAGCGUAGGGUUUUGGAGGAGGAUUACGGUGAUGAGGCUAGGGUUUCUGAAUUCCCCAAGAAGGAUGCCGAGGUCGCCGAGGAGGCGGGGGACGGCGAUCCGUUCCUCGGAGGUGGGGCUAGAGAGAGUAUGGGGAUCGGCGAUCUGGAUCAGGCCCCGGUCAUUCCCGGACUCUCGGCUGGUCCGGCCCCUCCGGGACCUUUUCUUGAUAUGGAUGGCGGCGACGUGAAGGCAUCGAGGAGCGAAGAUUGGGACACUGAUAGCGAGGAUGAUCUGCAGAUCGUCCUGAAUGAC
rnacentral:lncRNA from 1 species